rnacentral:rRNA from 1 species
CCAAUAGCGUAUAUUAAAGUUGUUGCAGUUAAAAAGCUCGUAGUUGAAUUUCGGGGUUAGUAGGUUGGUCAUGCCUCUGGUAUGUACUGGUCUCACUGAUUCCUCCUUUCUGAUGAACCUUAAUGCCAUUUAUUUGGUGUUUUGGGGAAUUUGGACUGUUACUUUGAAAAAAUUAGAGUGUUUAAAGCAAGCUAACGCUUGAAUACAUUAGCAUGGAAUAAUGAAAUAGGACGUUCGAUCCUAUUUUGUUGGUUUCUAGGAUUGACGUAAUGAUUGAUAGGGAUAGUUGGGGGCAUUAGUAUUCAAUUGUCAGAGGUGAAACUCUUGGAUUUAUUGAAGACUAACUACUGCGAAAGCAUUUGCCAAGGAUGUUUUCAUUAAUCAAGAACGAAAGUUAGGGGAUCGAAGACGAUCAGAUACCGUCGUAGUCUUAACCAUAAACUAUGCCGACUAGGGAUCGGAUGAUGUUAAUUUUUUAAUGACUCAUUCGGCGCCUUACG